AGGUAAAACAGUGUUAAGCCCCGCCCCCAGCAGGUAAAACAGUGUUAAGCCCCGCCCCCAGCAGGUAAAACUGUGUUAAGCCCCGCCCCCAGCAGGAGACCAAGCAUUGACCCAGCAGGUAAAACAGUGUUAAGCCCCGCCCCCAGCAGGAGACCAAGCAUUGACCCAGCCGGUAAAACAGUGUUAAGCCCCGCCCCCAGCAGGUAAAACAGUGUUAAGCCCCGCCCCCAGCAGGAGACCAAGCAUUGACCCAGCCGGUAAAACAGUGUUAAGCCCCGCCCCCAGCAGGAGACCAAGCAUUGACCCAGC